CCUAAUAAAUCAGCUCCGUCUGUGCAGCGGGCAAGGCGAAUCCAUUGGACGGUUACAAAAUGACUUGCCUGAGGUCUCCCGCAGGUCAGAGUCGGGCACUAUUGGGCGCCUGGCGGUUGCCAUGGAGACUGGGUUGUUGAAGGAGGGCCUUUAUUUGGUCUUGGAAUCCUACCGUUUCCCAGGCUGCGGGAGGGAUAGUUGCCACGUGGUAGAAUUGAAAACAGCACAGCCCUUGAGAUCAGCUUCGUAACUUGUGUAGACUAAGUAAAUCAGGGUUUCGUUUGUUUAGCAGCACAGCAGGAAUCCCAACUUUGUCACGGAAGGGAAAAAUACAAAGCGCCUAUGAGCGCCACCUAGCGUGAGCUCCGCCUCACAUGUCGAAUAGAGGAGCUUCGGCAAUGGAAGACAUCGUGGUUCCCAGGGCCGGUGCCAACUACUUAGCCCAAGACUGAUGACGCAGUAACCUCAGAGUGACCCCAUCUUCUUGCUGGUAU